rnacentral:piRNA from 1 species
UACUGGUAGGAGGCAUCUGAGUGUCCAGCU